rnacentral:rRNA from 1 species
UACGAAGGGUGCAAGCGCUACUCGGAAUUACUGGGCGUAAAGCGUGCGUAGGUGGUUUGUUAAGUCUGAUGUGAAAGCCCUGGGCUCAACCUGGGAAUUGCAUUGGAUACUGGCAGGCUAGAGUGCGGUAGAGGAUGGCGGAAUUCCCGGUGUAGCAGUGAAAUGCGUAGAGAUCGGGAGGAACAUCUGUGGCGAAGGCGGCCAUCUGGACCAGCACUGACACUGAGGCACGAAAGCGUGGGGAGCAAACAGG